CUGGCUGCUAUUUGUCAGAAUUUUCCACCUCAGUCAGACAUCAGCUAUGGAAAAGUGCAGCCAAAAUGGCCAAAGCUUCUCAAAAUUAUGAGCAGCUGGAUACAAGGACUCAUACUGGUACACGCUGUGCAGCCUUAACAACACACACUGCUAUCCACCACACCUGGAAUCUUAAUUAUAUACAGGAACUUUCAGUUAAUUGCUGGUAGCUAUAGGAAACCUGAGCCAUGUGGGAAAAGAUAUGCAUACAGACAGGGUUCAUCAGCAGAUGUGAAAAGAUCGCCCAGAAUCAUGUGACAAAAUCUCAGCAAUGUGUACUGUCAAUGUGAUGAAGAUUUGUAUUUCACAAAACUGAAGUCCUGUAUUAUUAAAUGAAGCAGUGUCUUUUCCAACAGCACUGAAAAUAAACAUUCUAAAAGUGCCA
rnacentral:lncRNA from 1 species